CCGGCUUCUCACAACACAUGUUUCCACAUUAUAAAGAGUUGAUGAAAUUGAUCGUACACUGUGGGUGAUUGUAAUGGCUGUGCCAGGCAGACACUCAGGACAUGGAGAGAACAGGAUAGAGCCUGGGCCUUGGCCAGUGAGGACCUCCGGUGCACAUGGAUGGGACUCCCUCUCCUUUUUUUCAAGUGUUAUUCAAAAGCCUGCUACCAAAAAC